rnacentral:misc_RNA from 1 species
GACUUCGGUAUUGGUGUAUACUGAGUUAUUGAACAUAAAGGAGCAAUAAUAAAUUUCUUGUUCUACCAAGAAGUUUGGUAUUGCUCCUUUUUUAUUUAGGAUUUUUUUUGACUUAAAUAAGUCUGUUUCUUUACUUCAUCGUUACUUCAUCUUUACUUCAACAUACCCUUCGUUAUGUAGAAAUUUUUAUUUUCGAUAUCCUCUUCUCAAUUUUUUUUCUUAUAGUUUUUCUUAUAAGAAUUAAAAUAAGAAUUAAAAUAAAAAAUUUAAAUAUAAAUGGUGUAAAUUGACCUAUU